CGCUGGCGGCGUGCCUAAUACAUGCAAGUCGAACGGUCUUUCUAUGGAAGCUUGCUUCACUGAGAAGAUAGUGGCGAACGGGUGAGUAACACGUGGGUAACCUGCCCAUAAGAGGGGGGAUAACAUCCGGAAACGGGUGCUAAUACCGCAUAGUUUUCUUGGUCGCAUGAUCGGGAAAGGAAAGACGGCCUUUGUGCUGUCGCUUAUGGAUGGACCCGCGGCGUAUUAGUUAGUUGGUGAGGUAACGGCUCACCAAGACGAUGAUACGUAGCCGACCUGAGAGGGUGAUCGGCCACAUUGGGACUGAGACACGGCCCAAACUCCUACGGGAGGCAGCAGUAGGGAAUCUUCCGCAAUGGACGAAAGUCUGACGGAGCAACGCCGCGUGAGUGAAAGAAGGUUUUCGGAUCGUAAAACUCUGUUGUCAGAGAAGAACAAGUUGGAGAGUAACUGCUCCAGCCUUGACGGUAUCUGACCAGAAAGCCACGGCUAACUACGUGCCAGCCGCCGC
rnacentral:rRNA from 1 species